rnacentral:rRNA from 1 species
UGGGGAAAUUUGGACAGUGGGCGCAAGCCUGAUCCAGCAAUGCCGCGUGCAGGAUGAAGGCCUUCGGGUUGUAAACUGCUUUUGUACGGAGCGAAAAGGUCUGCCCUAAUACGGUGGGCUCAUGACGGUACCGUAAGAAUAAGCACCGGCUAACUACGUGCCAGCAGCCGCGGUAAUACGUAGGGUGCGAGCGUUAAUCGGAAUUACUGGGCGUAAAGCGUGCGCAGGCGGUUAUAUAAGACAGAUGUGAAAUCCCCGGGCUCAACCUGGGACCUGCAUUUGUGACUGUAUAGCUAGAGUACGGUAGAGGGGGAUGGAAUUCCGCGUGUAGCAGUGAAAUGCGUAGAUAUGCGGAGGAACACCGGUGGCGAAGGCAAUCCCCUGGACCUGUACUGACGCUCAUGCACGAAAGCGUGGGGAGCAAACA